GUGGGGAAUCUUCCGCAAUGGACGAAAGUCUGACGGAGCAACGCCGCGUGAGUGAUGAAGGUCUUCGGAUUGUAAAGCUCUGUUAAUCGGGACGAAAGAGCCUAGUGUGAAUAAUGCUAGGAAGUGACGGUACCGGAAUAGAAAGCCACGGCUAACUACGUGCCAGCAGCCGCGGUAAUACGUAGGUGGCAAGCGUUGUCCGGAAUUAUUGGGCGUAAAGCGCGCGUAGGCGGAUCUGCCAGUCUGUCUUAAAAGUUCGGGGCUUAACCCCGUGAUGGGAUGGAAACUACAGAUCUAGAGUAUCGGAGAGGAAAGUGGAAUUCCUAGUGUAGCGGUGAAAUGCGUAGAUAUUAGGAGGAACACCAGUGGCGAAGGCGACUUUCUGGACGAAAACUGACGCUGAGGCGCGAAAGCCAGGGGAGCGAACGGGAUUAGAAACCCCAGUAGUCC
rnacentral:rRNA from 1 species